rnacentral:rRNA from 1 species
CCGAGUGCUUGCACUCAAUUGGAAAGAGGAGUGGCGGACGGGUGAGUAACACGUGGGUAACCUACCCAUCAGAGGGGGAUAACACUUGGAAACAGGUGCUAAUACCGCAUAACAGUUUAUGCCGCAUGGCAUAAGAGUGAAAGGCGCUUUCGGGUGUCGCUGAUGGAUGGACCCGCGGUGCAUUAGCUAGUUGGUGAGGUAACGGCUCACCAAGGCCACGAUGCAUAGCCGACCUGAGAGGGUGAUCGGCCACACUGGGACUGAGACACGGCCCAGACUCCUACGGGAGGCAGCAGUAGGGAAUCUUCGGCAAUGGACGAAAGUCUGACCGAGCAACGCCGCGUGAGUGAAGAAGGUUUUCGGAUCGUAAAACUCUGUUGUUAGAGAAGAACAAGGACGUUAGUAACUGAACGUCCCCUGACGGUAUCUAACCAGAAAGCCACGGCUAACUACGUGCCAGCAGCCGCGGUAAUACGUAGGUGGCAAGCGUUGUCCGGAUUUAUUGGGCGUAAAGCGAGCGCAGGCGGUUUCUUAAGUCUGAUGUGAAAGCCCCCGGCUCAACCGGGGAGGGUCAUUGGAAACUGGGAGACUUGAGUGCAGAAGAGGAGAGUGGAAUUCCUGGGUAGUACC